CCCUUAGAUGUCCUGGGCCGCACGCGUGCUACACUGACGCCUACAGCGAGUACUUCCCAGCCCCGAGAGGUGGCUGGUAAUCAGCAAUAGGCGUCGUGAUGGGGAUAGAUCUUUGGAAUUAUGGAUCCUGAACGAGGAAUGCCUAGUAAGCGCAGGUCAUUAGCCUGCGCUGAUUAAGUCCCUGCCCUUUGUACACACCGCCCGUCGCUCCUACCGAUUUCGAGUGGUCCGGUGAAUCUUUCGGACUGCGCGCGGCCUCGUGCCGUGUCGCGGAAAGUCAGGUAAACCUUAUCACUUAGAGGAAGGAGAAGUCGUAACA
rnacentral:rRNA from 1 species